AUUUUAUUGCCAUUACCAUAAAAAUUGGUGGCACCCUUUUAGGGGGCUCCGGUUCGGUACGGUUGUAUUUACACUUCAGAUCGAUGCCACGAUAAGUCUGUGCCCCCACAAGAGUGGUCAGACCCCGGCGUGUGUUGAAACUACGUACAGUACACACUUGUGAGAUAAAAGUACGUGUGCAGGGCAGAGCCUCCACGCUCUUCUUUGCCAUCUUGGGAGCGAAAUGGAACUGAACCUGGAACUUAAACUGAAACUGGCCUGGAAUGUGAUAGGCUGUCUGGCACUUGACUAAUCUACUCUGCUCCACUGAUAGAACUCACUUCAAAUGUGUAUAUAAAUAAUAUGAAUUUCCAGUCAAAGGCAAAUUAAUGGUUCCGACCACAAAUAUUUGCUACGUCACUUCGUCAAGUGGUUCAGCCAUAGAGUUCGAUUAAUGAGCGACUAUGCCGACAUUGUGGGAAAGAUGGAAGGGCAUACACUGUCAGAGAACCCUUUGAUGGGACUGUACCUGGAACUUUGGUUACCUACGCGGGGCAGGGCAAGGACAAACACGGCACCGGGGUUCAACCACCUUUUUUCCAGCUCCUUCUUCCGCAUCUCGACUCUUUUUGUUUCUUG
rnacentral:lncRNA from 1 species